GACGAACGCUGGCGGCGUGCUUAACACAUGCAAGUCGAACGGAAAGGCCCUGCUUUUGUGGGGUGCUCGAGUGGCGAACGGGUGAGUAACACGUGAGUAACCUGCCCUUGACUUUGGGAUAACUUCAGGAAACUGGGGCUAAUACCGGAUAGGAGCUCCUGCUGCAUGGUGGGGGUUGGAAAGUUUCGGCGGUUGGGGAUGGACUCGCGGCUUAUCAGCUUGUUGGUGGGGUAGUGGCUUACCAAGGCUUUGACGGGUAGCCGGCCUGAGAGGGUGACCGGCCACAUUGGGACUGAGAUACGGCCCAGACUCCUACGGGAGGCAGCAGGGGGGAAUAUUGCACAAUGGGCGGAAGCCUGAUGCAGCAACGCCGCGUGCGGGAUGACGGCCUUCGGGUUGUAAACCGCUUUCGCCUGUGACGAAGCGCGAGUGACGGUAAUGGGUAAAGAAGCACCGGCUAACUACGUG
rnacentral:rRNA from 1 species